rnacentral:rRNA from 1 species
UACGGGGGGGGCAAGCGUUGUUCGGAAUUACUGGGCGUAAAGGGCUCGUAGGCGGCCAACUAAGUCGGACGUGAAAUCCCCAGGCUCAACCUGGGAACUGCGUCCGAUACUGGAUGGCUUGAAUCCGGGAGAGGGGAUGCAGAAUUCCAGGUGUAGCGGUGAAAUGCGCAGAUAUCUGGAGGAAUACCGGGUGGCGAAGGCGGCAUCCUGGACCGGCAUUGACGCGU